rnacentral:tRNA from 1 species
AUCUAAAUAGUUUAAUAAAAAUAUUAGUUUGUGGUACUAAAGUUAUAAAAUGUUAUUUUAGAUU